rnacentral:rRNA from 1 species
UACGUAGGGGGCGAGCGUUGUCCGGAUUUAUUGGGCGUAAAGAGCUCGUAGGCGGUUCGAUAAGUCGGACGUGAAAUCUCCACGCUCAACGUGGAGGGGCCGUUCGAUACUGUCGUGACUCGAGUCCGGUAGGGGAGUGUGGAAUUCCCGGUGUAGCGGUGAAAUGCGUAGAGAUCAGGAGGAACACCCGUGGCGAAGGCGGCCCCCUGGGUCGGCCCUGACGCUGAGGCACGAAAGCGUGGGGAGCAAACAGG